CAUAUACUCCCUCCGUUUCAAAUUACUCGUCGCUGAAAUGGAUGUAUCUAGAACUAAAAUACAUCUAGAUACAUCCAUACGUGCGACAAGUAAUUCGGAACGGAGGGAGUAUGUA
rnacentral:pre_miRNA from 1 species